GCACACAACGUUAUCCCAACGUUAUCUAAAGGUUGUAUUUAGGUUAAGUCAUGACUUAACAUUAAUACAACGUUCCCACCACAUUGUAGUUCUUAGCCUAAAUGAGAACACGUUGUGUCAACGUUGGUGGAACGUCGCCAAUCAACGUUCCUUAUCCACGUUGUAGGAACGUUAUAUGCUGACAUUGCCGCCACGUUGGUUAAACGUUGCCGUUUAACGUUCCUUCUCCACGUUGUGGGAACGUUUUAUGCUGACAUUGUCGCAACGUUGGUUAAAUGUUGCUGAUUAACGUUUCUUAUCCACGUUGUAGGAACGUUUUAUGCUGACAUUGCCGCAACGUUCGAUAAAAAAUAAUUUUUCGUUGAGGCAAUGUUAUAUUUUAACGUCGCAGUAACGUUGUCUUACGACGUUCGGCUACAAGUGAUUCAACGUUACAAAAACAUUGCUUAUGAACGUCGCUGCAACGUUGAAACUCAACUUUCGCAAGUGGCAUAUAUAAAUGAUAAAGAAAUUAUUAAUUUAGCAAAGAUCGCAUCAGUAUGUAUAUAUCAUGCUCCCUGAUGAUGGCUCGAUCUGAAAGAGAGUUGAUAGAAUUUCUCAUAAUGAUAAAUAUAUUUGAACUUGACGGUUGCCUUGAGUAAAGUUUAAUUUCAGCGACCUCGUGUGUAUCAUAUGUAGGCCUAAAUAAGGCUAAGAUUGUUUCAAUUUGCGCCGUUUUCAUAAUGAAAUCAUACGCCGAUAUCGUCUAAAGAGCAAGGCCGAAAUGGCAAUGACGGUAAAUAUGAUUUUAUACGGUUUUUUAAUUUAAAUUUUGAGACAUAAAAUGAGUUUUAAAAUGAAAUGUUUUGCCCCGGCUCUAUAUAAAAUAUAUAGUGUGUCGUGUGUCGACUUUGUGUUUGUUUGUCCAAAUUCCUGUUAUUUGAUACACGUGCAUUGACCGUCGGAAAGGUGGAUGGAAAGCAAUGAGUCCAAAUAUGGUCAUUAAUGCCAUAUACGGUUACUGAAAUAACUGAUUCGGUUGCUGGCGCCAACUGUCAUUGUGCUUGCGUCGAAGCGAACAAAACGUAUUGUGUGUAGACUAGCUUUUUCAAGAGGUAUAUUUUUCAAUUUGAGUACUCGUUUGUUUGUUUGGCAACUUUCUCGACGUCUACAACCGACUGCGUCUGUAUUAGCAGCAUUAUUGGAAAUUCUGUCUUCUGAGAUCUCUCGUGUGUUGGAUUGUUUGAUAAAGUAACAAUUCCAGUCUUAUGUAAAGGAUCGCAAGAACGGGACAAAUCAAGCUUAGAAAUGAUUUAACACGUGCGAGAUGACAUUGUCUUUUCUGAUUUCUCAUAUUUCUAUCGCCAUAUAUACUGUACCUAUGAUUUAUCAAUAUUCGGAAUGUACAGCUGAUUCAAAUAAGGUUGUCCUUUCACAACCUUAAACGUUAAACUUUGAGCGCGCCUAUUAACCUUAAACACUAAUUAAAAUAAUUAAAUUGCCUUUCAGCAAGUAUGCUUUAAAAAAUCUGUCGUGAGUCUUCUAUGUCUUGCCAGGGUUUUAUUGCAGUCUAUAGUCUAAAUAUGCAAAGAACCAUCAUCCGUUGAGCGUUCAAGGUCUAACGUUUAUAGUUAUAGAAGGACAACGUUAAUUGAAUCAGCUGUAAGUAAAUAAGAUAGUGUAAUUGUUGUAAAUCAAACAAUUUUCCAAAUACAGG
rnacentral:lncRNA from 1 species